GGUACAGAAAGCCAUUUUUUUUAGAAUGUUUUCCAUUAUUUAUCGUCAUAAGAUAUGGCCACCUUAAAAAAUGUAAAGUUCCUAAACACAACUUCUUGUCCUGAUUCAACAGUUUUGAUGUGUAAAUGUAAGAAUAGUAUCGAUCUUUAUUAAUUAAGCCUUCUAACAUUACUUUACUUACCGAGUGGAAAAUCGCAAUGGACCUUGGGAUCGCCCAUACGGUGAGCGUUGUUAAACUCAUCUCUGAAUGCCGUUUUCCCUGCAGUCUAGAUCCAUACGAGGCAGACAAUGGGUUGUGGUGUGCUGAAACAAGACGUCAAAUUUCAACGCUGUUUAGUUCCAUAGAAGUCUAUCGGACUACCCCCCACGUUGAAAAAAGACGUCAAAGGUAUACCCAGUGCGUCAAAAAAGUGACGCCAGAUCCCUUGACCAUGCGUCAGACAUUUGACGAGUAGCGAGUGAGACUGUGUUGGGCUUCCACCUUACUCGGGUCUGUGGAGAUACCAUGGAUAUUCACCACAUGCCCAAGAAAAGUCAACUCCUGAAGACAAAACCUGCUCUUCUU
ensembl:lncRNA